UAUCGGAUUGAUACUAAGCCAUGCGAGUCAUUGUAGCAAUACAAGGCAUACGGCUCAGUAACGCGUAGUCAACCUAACCUAUGGACGGAAAUAACCUCGGGAAACUGAGAAUAAUGUCCGAUAGAACACUAUACCUGGAAUGGUUUGUGUUCCAAAUGAUUUAUCGCCGUAGGAUGGGACUGCGGCCUAUCAGUUUGUUGGUGAGGUAAUGGCCCACCAAGACUAUUACAGGUACGGGCUCUGAGAGGAGUAGCCCGGAGAUGGGUACUGAGACACGGACCCAGGCCCUAUGGGGCGCAGCAGGCGAGAAAACUUUGCAAUGUGCGAAAGCACGACAAGGUUAAUCCGAGCGAUUUGUGCUAAACGAAUCUUUUGUUAGUCUUAGAACCACUAACGAAUAAGGGGUGGGCAAGUUCUGGUGUCAGCCGCCGCGGUAAAACCAGCACCUCAAGUGGUCAGGAUGAUUAUUGGGCCUAAAGCAUCCGUAGCCGGCUCUGUAAGUUUUCGGUUAAAUCUGUACGCUCAACGUACAGGCUGCCGGGAAUACUGCAGAGCUAGGGAGUGGGAGAGGUAGACGGUACUCGGAAGGAAGGGGUAAAUCCUUUGAUCUUUUGAUGACCACCUGUGGCGAAGGCGGUCUACCAGAACACGUCCGACGGUGAGGGAUGAAAGCUGGGGGAGCAAACCGGAUUAAAUACCCGGGUAGUCCCAGCUGUAACUAUGCAACUCAGUGAUGCAUUGACUUGUGGUCAAUGCA
rnacentral:rRNA from 1 species